rnacentral:rRNA from 1 species
GUGAGGAAUCUUGGACAAUGCACGAAAGUGUGAUCCAGCGACACCGCGUGGGUGAUGAAGGCCUUCGGGUUGUAAAACCCUGUCAAGCGGGAAGAAGUCCCGAUUUCAUCGGGAUUGACGGUACCGCUGAAGGAAGCCCCGGCUAAUCCCGUGCCAGCAGCCGCGGUAAGACGGGAGGGGCGAGCGUUACCCGGAUUUACUGGGUGUAAAGGGUCCGUAGGCGGUCAGGCAUGUCAAAUCUGAAAAACCCCGGCUCAACCGGGGAAUUGGGUUUGAAACUGUCAGACUUGAGUCUGGAGGAGGAAAGCGGAACUGCCGGUGUAGCGGUGAAAUGCGUAGAUAUCGGCAGGAACACCAGUGGCGUAGGCGGCUUUCUAUUCUGGUACUGACGCUGAGGGACGAAAGCGUGGGGAGCGAUCGGGAUUAGAAACCCUGGUAGUCC